GUGCCAGCAGCCGCGGUAAUACAGAGGGUGCAAGCGUUGUUCGGAAUUACUGGGCGUAAAGCGCGCGCAGGCGGAUCCUGCAAGUCCGGAGUGAAAUCUCACUGCUCAACGGUGAGGCUGCUUUGGAUACUGCGGAUCUGGAGACCGGUAGAGGCUGGUAGAAUUGCAGGUGUAGCGGUGGAAUGCGUAGAGAUCUGCAAGAAUACCCGUGGCGAAGGCGGCCAGCUGGGCCGGUUCUGACGCUGAGGCGCGAAAGCGUGGGGAGCAAACAGGAUUAGAAACCCCCGUAGUCC
rnacentral:rRNA from 1 species